rnacentral:rRNA from 1 species
CUACACAUGCAGUCGAGGGGUAUAGUUCUUCGGAACUAGAGACCGGCGCACGGGUGCGUAACGCGUAUGCAAUCUACCUUUCACAGAGGGAUAGCCCAGAGAAAUUUGGAUUAAUACCUCAUAGUAUUAUAGAGUGGCAUCACUUUAUAAUUAAAGUCACAACGGUGAAAGAUGAGCAUGCGUCCCAUUAGCUAGUUGGUAAGGUAACGGCUUACCAAGGCAACGAUGGGUAGGGGUCCUGAGAGGGAGAUCCCCCACACUGGUACUGAGACACGGACCAGACUCCUACGGGAGGCAGCAGUGAGGAAUAUUGGACAAUGGGCGCAAGCCUGAUCCAGCCAUGCCGCGUGCAGGAUGACGGUCCUAUGGAUUGUAAACUGCUUUUGUACAGGAAGAAACACUGGUUCGUGAACCAGCUUGACGGUACUGUAAGAAUAAGGAUCGGCUAACUCCGUGCCAGCAGCCGCGGUAAUACGGAGGAUCCAAGCGUUAUCCGGAAUCAUUGGGUUUAAAGGGUCCGUAGGCGGUUUAGUAAGUCAGUGGUGAAAGCCCAUCGCUCAACGGUGGAACGGCCAUUGAUACUGCUAAACUUGAAUUAUUAGGAAGUAACUAGAAUAUGUAGUGUAGCGGUGAAAUGCUUAGAGAUUACAUGGAAUACCAAUUGCGAAGGCAGGUUACUACUAA